rnacentral:rRNA from 1 species
ACGAACGCUGGCGGCGUGCCUAAUACAUGCAAGUAGAACGCUGAAGGAGGAGCUUGCUUCUCUGGAUGAGUUGCGAACGGGUGAGUAACGCGUAGGUAACCUGCCUGGUAGCGGGGGAUAACUAUUGGAAACGAUAGCUAAUACCGCAUAAGAGUAGAUGUUGCAUGACAUUUGCUUAAAAGGUGCAAUUGCAUCACUACCAGAUGGACCUGCGUUGUAUUAGCUAGUUGGUGAGGUAACGGCUCACCAAGGCGACGAUACAUAGCCGACCUGAGAGGGUGGUCGGCCACACUGGGACUGAGACACGGCCCAGACUCCUACGGGAGGCAGCAGUAGGGAAUCUUCGGCAAUGGACGGAAGUCUGACCGAGCAACGCCGCGUGAGUGAAGAAGGUUUUCGGAUCGUAAAGCUCUGUUGUAAGAGAAGAACGAGUGUGAGAGUGGAAAGUUCACACUGUGACGGUAUCUUACCAGAAAGGGACGGCUAACUACGUG